UCAGGACAAGAGAUUUGAGUCGCGAGCUGGUCGAGAGCGGUACGAGUGUGUUGUACGCGUCGGGAGUCGUUACCACAGAGAGCGAGUCGAGCCCAGCAUACCGCAACGUCCAUGGAGACGCCGUGACAUGACGGACGCGGGUCGGUGUCGCCAACCGCAGCGGGCAGGGGGGCCGUAUAGAGGGAGUACUGUGGUGAUGGUUCACCACAAUGUCGUAGAUAAGAUGAUAAAAAAAAUAACUGUGACUAUAAAAAUAAGAGGCAGUUUCUAUGUACAAUAUUUUAUUUUUUUUUUAUCUUACUAGUGCAGCAUCUGUCAACGAAAAAUGAAAAUAAAUGUUUUUAAAGUUGUAUGAAAAGUGAAUUUACUAUACCGUGAAUUAACAACAUCAUAAAAUAUAGGAUCAGGUACUAUAAACUGGUCAGAUGUGGCAUUGAGAACUUUCGCAUUGUUUUUGGAGCGACGAGAAGUUGGUUCCUAAAUAAUUUAACCCACGCAAACCCGAUGGUGGGUCAAGUUUUUGACGUCGGAUUGUCGAGAAUACAACAUUUCAUGACAUCGUUUGGACACGAACAUUGAAUGUAAGGUGGAUCGGAAACAUCAGAAAGCUAUCAAAAUAUGGUCAUGAAACACUUUUGUGGAAUAGACAGUGUCAAACACACGACGGGUUGCGUUUCGGUGUUCGUAAUUAAAUACUGAAUUCUUACCCGGCCUACUC
rnacentral:misc_RNA from 1 species